GAUGAACGCUGGCGGCGUGCUUAACACAUGCAAGUCGAGCGGUCAGGCCUCUUCGGGGGUACACGAGUGGUGGACGGGUGAGUAACACGUGGGUGACCUGCCCUCAGCUAUGGGAUAAGCCUGGGUAACUGGGACUAAUACUGGAUAUGAACUUUCCUCGCAUGGGGAUUGGUGGAAAGUUUUUUCGGCUGGGGCUGGGCCCGCGGCCUAUCAGCUUGUUGGUGGGGUGAUGGCCUACCAAGGCGACGACGGGUAGCCGGCCUGAGUGGCCGACCGGCCACACCGGGACUGAGACACGGCCCGGACACCUACGGGAGGCAGCAGUGGGGAAUAUGACGCAAGGGGCGGAAGCCUAACGCAUCGACGCCGCGUGGGGGAUGACGACCUUCGGGGUGUAAACCUCUAACGACCCCGACGAAUUUUGACGGUAGGUAUAGAAGAAGCACCGGCCAACUACGUG
rnacentral:rRNA from 1 species